UUAAAUCAAAUAUGUAUGGAGUUGGAACUUUUGCCUAAGUUUGUCGCUAGGGGCGCUGUUCUAACUGCAUAUAAAUUUAAGUUA
rnacentral:pre_miRNA from 1 species